UUUACUUGGCGAGUUUGAUCCUGGCUCAGAGCGAACGCUGGCGGCGUACUUAACACAUGCAAGUCGAACGAGGAGCAUCUGUGUAGCAAUACAUAGGUGCUUCUAGUGGCGCACGGGUGAGUAACACGUGGGCAACCUGCCCUUGAGUCCGGGAUACCCUCUCGAAAGGGAGGCUAAUACCGGAUACGUUCCUCGGAUUGCGAAAUCUGGGGAGGAAAGGCGGCGAAAGCUGCCGCUCUUGGAGGGGCUCGCGGCCUAUCAGCUAGUUGGUGAGGUAACGGCUCACCAAGGCUAUGACGGGUAGCUGGUCUGAG
rnacentral:rRNA from 1 species